UUCUUCCUAACAUCUGCUACUGACCUCUUUCUACAAUAUGUUUGUGACAAGUGAUCUUAGGCACCGACUCCGUGGGUGCUCCAGGGCUUGAGCAGCCACCGAAAACGGUUAGGAUCUCCAGCAAUCUUUGCCAUGGAUGAAAAUGGUGACAAGAAGAGAAGCAGGGCCCAAUGAGGAGUUCUCACUACCUCAAAAAAGCGAUCAGACAUAGCCCAUGUUAUGCAGGUUCACAAACUCCCUCUCAAGACAAGGAACUUCCAUCCACAUGAAUAGGAAAAGAAAUGCAGAAAACAUUAUUAAUGCAGUGUCAGUAUUGCAAAAAGGACUUGAUCCUGCUCCCAUUCAAUUCAGGGAUUUUGCCAGAUCUCAGUGAAUGAAGGAUGAGGCCUAAAAUCACCAGGA